GGACCUCAGUCAAACUCUUUGCUGUUUUGUAUUCAAAUUAUAAGAUUGGAGAAGAAUGCCUUUAAGAUUGUAAAAUAUUCAUACCUUUGUAAUGGAGAUUUGGACAGUGAUUUUCUGUCAAUUGAGAAGCAAAGACUUGUUUAGCUUUUAGGUCCCUCAUAUACUAUUAGAAAUCUGUUUAGUCCUUUAAAAAACAAAAGUUCAGAGGUGCUAUUAUAGAGUUUUUCUACAAAAUUUUCUGAAAAAGGUGAGGUUACGAUUUUAAAAGUGCUCAUGACUUGUACAUGUAGAGUAGAAUAGUGAUGUUAAAGCGAGGGGAUGUGUGAUCCUCACCACCAGUAGAUAUUGUUUUGUACAGUAGUGUUGAGUUUGAAUCUCCUAGUAUAGACUCUGUUCUGAUGAUGACUGAAAUCACUGGGAAAAACUUUACUAGUCAUUCAUAUUGUUAUCCCCCAUUGUUGUGAUUUUUCUGUGCUUUAUAAGGAAAAAUAUAUUGUUAUAUAGACUUACAUGUACAUGAAUCAUUGUUGAAACAUUAACAUUUUUUAAUGCAGAAUCUAAUAUGUAUAAAAUUCAUGUAGAACUUACUGUUAAUGUAGAUGUUAUAAACUUUAUCCAACCCUUCAUAAGCUGUGUUUUGAAUAUGAUCCCAAAACUAGUGGUUAGUUUCAGCCGUGUUGAUUGAUGAGCAAGUUUUGUUUUGUAUUAUGGCUUAUGAGUAUACAUGUUGACCUGUUCAGGUUAUGAAAUUCUGUUAUAUGCUUUUGAGACGCCAUCCAAAACUAAAACUUCAAUAAUUGCUUUAUAAUUGAAUAUCUUUUUGUAUAUUUUACACACAAUUUUUCUGUAAGAGGAAUUCAAGAAAUACUCUUACCAAACAGCCCUCAUCUUUCUUAAAUAUGUGAAUUAAUCGCACCUGAAAAAUUCUUAGGUUGUGCAAAGAAUAAAGACUUCAACUUCCAGAAAGCUAAACUAGCUGUUUAUCAUACAGAGGCCAUGCAGGGUAAUUAAAAUUAACCAUAAACUUUGAAAUGUACCAACAUAUGUGUAAUUGCUUCCUUAUCAAUUAUUUUACAGAUUUAUUAACACAGAGCUUGUACCAAAUACAUAUUUAUCAUACAUUAUGUUUUAUAUCUAUACAUGUAGUAUUUUAGAUUUUAUGGAUAUUCCAGAACUUCAAACAUGAAAUUUCUUGUCAUUAAAGUUAAUUUUUAU
rnacentral:misc_RNA from 1 species